rnacentral:rRNA from 1 species
UACGUAGGGUGCGAGCGUUGUCCGGAAUUAUUGGGCGUAAAGAGCUUGUAGGCGGUUUGUCGCGUCUGCUGUGAAAAUCCGGGGCUCAACCCCGGACUUGCAGUGGGUACGGGCAGGCUAGAGUGUGGUAGGGGAGACUGGAAUUCCUGGUGUAGCGGUGGAAUGCGCAGAUAUCAGGAGGAACACCGAUGGCGAAGGCAGGUCUCUGGGCCGACACUGACACUGAGAGACGAAAGCUAGGGGAGCGAAUGGG